AGUGAACGCUGGCGGUAGGCCUAACACAUGCAAGUCGAACGGCAGCACAGUAAAAGCUUGCUCUUACGGGUGGCGAGUGGCGGACGGGUGAGGAAUACAUAGGAAUCUACUUAUUCGUGGGGGAUAACGUAGGGAAACAUACGCUAAUACCGCAUACGACCUACGGGUGAAAGCAGGGGAUCUUCGGACCUUGCGCGAUUGAAUGAGACGAUGUCGGAUUAGCUAGUUGGCGGGGUAAAGGCACACCAAGGCGACGAUCCGUAGCUGGUCUGAGAGGAUGAUCAGCCACACUGGAACUGAGACACGGUCCAGACUCCUACGGGAGGCAGCAGUGGGGAAUAUUGGACAAUGGGCGCAAGCCUGAUCCAGCCAUACCGCGUGAGUGAAGAAGGCCUUCGGGUUGUAAAGCCCUUUUGUUGGGAAAGAAAAGCAGCAGGUUAAUACCCCGCUGUUCUGACGGUACCCAAAGAAUAAGCACCGGCUAACUUCGUG
rnacentral:rRNA from 1 species